rnacentral:lncRNA from 1 species
GCCUUCAUUCUACACUACGAUGAGGUGUCCAUCAUGGAGGUUAAGAUCAAUGCCCUCAUUAAAGCAUCGGGGGAUAUGCUGAACCUUUUUGGCCUGGCUUGUUUGCAGAGGCCCUGGCCAAUGUCAACAUCAGGAGCCUCCUCUGCAAUGUAGGGGCUGGAGGACCUGCUCCAGCGGCUAGGGGUUCAUCCACAGGCCAGUCAUGCCCCUCCACUGCCGCUGCUCCAGCUGAGCACAAGGAAGUGGACGCAAAGAAUCUGACGACUCUGGUGAUGACAUGGCUUUGGACUUUUUGACCC